rnacentral:rRNA from 1 species
CCUACGGGAGGCAGCAGUGAGGAAUAUUGGUCAAUGGGCGUAAGCCUGAACCAGCCAAGUAGCGUGCAGGAUGACUGCCCUACGGGUUGUAAACUUCUUUUAUAAAGGAAUAAAGUGAGGCACGUGUGCCUUUUUGUAUGUACUUUAUGAAUAAGGAUCGGCUAACUCCGUGCCAGCAGCCGCGGUAAUACGGAGGAUCCGAGCGUUAUCCGGAUUUAUUGGGUUUAAAGGGAGCGUAGAUGGGUUGUUAAGUCAGUGGUGAAAGGUUGCGGCUUAACCGUAAAAUUGCAAUUGAUACUGGCAGUCUUGAGUACAGUUGAGGUAGGCGGAAUGCGUGGUGUAGCGGUGAAAUGCUUAGAGAUCACGAAGAACUCCGAUUGCGAAGGCAGCUUACUAAACUGCCACUGACAUUGAUGCACGAAAGUGUGGGUAUCAAACAGGAUUAGAUACCCCUGUAGUC